AAGCCCAACUUGCAUUUACACAGAAUAUGAGAACUAAUGUAGCAGAGUGAACCAAAGGGUUUGACGACUGUGCGUGGGAGGGCAAGGCAGAAAAGAAGGCAAGAGCCUGCACAGGAUGGGCGUGGAAGUUUCACACUGAGUUUCACUCCUGGCUCGCAGUCCUGUCAUUCAACAACUUAUAUGGCACUGGGGUUUCACAGGGACAGGUUGGGCUGCAGAGCUGUUGUCUUUUGGACUACAAUGUCAGCUGUGGUGUUUGGAUGACCACGUGUGGAAAUCUUAACAGAAAACAUCAUAUCCAAAGGAAGAAGCUUCAUGUGGCAGCUGUUGCCUUGAACUGGAAUUUUGUUUAAGGGACAAGAAGACAACACAUUUUACUGAGACUUUAAUAUCACUUUGAAUCUGGACUAACUGAGAAAUCACUUGUUUCACUGAAGGAGUGUUUCCAGAUUGAGGAACAGUGCCUUUUAUAUUUGAUCAGAAAUGUCUGCGUCACCACAUGAAAAGGUGGAUGAAUCGGACCCACUGAACGGCAUCCCAGAGGCAGGUGACGCGCAAAAUAAUGACACUAGAAUUCAAAUAUGCAAUGCCUUCUGCAACGACGACCCGUACCACAGGAAACUCGCUAUCUGCAGCAUCAUCUGUGGGAUCUCCUGCAUUGGAAUCAAGGCUCUGAUACACUCAGUCAAGGCUGAGAUGACAACAGAUCCAGAGAAAGCUACAGAGUUUUUAAACAAGGCGAAGAAAAAUAGCAUAAUCUCCAUUGUGACAUUGGUUUCCAUUCUGGCUGCAAUUCCCAUUCUGAUGGCGCUGAUCUCAUAUCUCCUCACUCUGCAAGACUAAUCAACAUUGAUAAACCUCUACAGAAGAGUAACAGAGGAGUGACUUUUGGAUGCUUAUGGAGACAGACAGCAGACAAUACAAAGGUGCUUAUCAACGACUAAAAGCCAUGAAGAUAUGAAGAGACUGGUGCUUCCAUGGAGAACAUAAAGACUGGUUUAGUCUUUCUUGUGCUGAUAAAAUGACGGCUGUCCCAGUUUACACUUUUAUUUUAUACUUCCUCUUAGACAUUUGUUUUUACACAAAGGAACAACCACUCUGGAAAACAGUGUCAAAAACUUGGAUGUCUUUUUAUAUGCUGUAAUAUUUAUUUAACAAUAUACAAUAGACAAUUCAAAAUCUAAAUGACCAUAUAAAAUCCAGCAUUGACUAUAGUUUGAGACAUGACACUACCUGACAAAUAUACAUUAUAUAUUAAAGAUUAGAACUGUCAUUCCCCGGUAAUGACCCAAUCCUUGAUGUUUCUGAACCAUAAACGCCAUUACAGUUGAACACAUUCAUUGUUAGAAAUUAUAUAUGCUUGCAAAUACUACAAAAGUUAAUGGAUUAUUCAAGCUGACAAUCUAAAAAGGAGCAACAUAAACAUUUUCAUCAAGGAUUGGGUCUCUACUGGAAAAAACUGGCAUGGCAGUGCUUCAUCAGUACAAGAUUCUGCUCUUGUUGCCAACAUUACCUUGGCACUAUUGCAUUGUUACCAUAUUAGCUUUAUCAUUGUCAAAUGUAUCAUUAUGUUGUCCUUUUAUACAAACAUAUAAACAAACGACUUAAUAAUAAAAACAACAAAAACGUU